GAUGAACGCUGGCGGCGUGCCUAAUACAUGCAAGUCGAGCGAACAGACGAGGAGCUUGCUCCUCUGACGUUAGCGGCGGACGGGUGAGUAACACGUGGAUAACCUACCUAUAAGACUGGGAUAACUUCGGGAAACCGGAGCUAAUACCGGAUAAUAUAUUGAACCGCAUGGUUCAAUAGUGAAAGACGGUUUUGCUGUCUCUUAUAGAUGGAUCCGCGCCGCAUUAGCUAGUUGGUAAGGUAACGGCUUACCAAGGCGACGAUGCGUAGCCGACCUGAUAGGGUGAUCGGCCACACUGGAACUGAGACACGGUCCAGACUCCUACGGGAGGCAGCAGUAGGGAAUCUUCCGCAAUGGGCGAAAGCCUGACGGAGCAACGCCGCGUGAGUGAUGAAGGUCUUCGGAUCGUAAAACUCUGUUAUUAGGUAAGAACAAAUGUGUAAGUAACUAUGCACGUCUUGACGGUACCUAAUCAGAAAGCCACGGCUAACUACGUG
rnacentral:rRNA from 1 species